UCACGGAUGGUGCAAUUGGUUAGACACAGAACGGAUAUGGGAAAUGAGUGCAGGUUCGAAUCCUGCUCCGUGAA
rnacentral:tRNA from 1 species